GCUCAAGUGUCUUAGUGGUUAGAGCGUCUGCCUCGGAUGCUGGAGGUUGUGGGUUCUAUCCCCUGUCGAGUCA